UAGGAAGUGCCCUUUGUACACGUGGGGCUGGCCAACAACAGAGCCACUUGAAUGGCACAAACGGCUGCUGAAACUGAGAACAGACAGCUCUGAUGUGAGCAGGACCUAGCAGAGCAGCAUCGGGGAGCUGGAAACACCAUCUUGGAACAUCAUGGAGCUUUCAUCAUUAAUUGAAAGUAAAGGAGUGACAACACUGUACUCACCCACAGGGCAGCACUUAACUGGAGAUCUGUGCUAUAUGUGUGAGCAUCUUCUGUCCUGUGAUGUAAUCAGGAUUCUGACAGCAGUGCUUUCUGUGCUUGAAGUAGGAUCCCAACUGGGAAACUUGAGGAUGGUGGGUUUACCUAGGAAGAUGCUGCAUUUCCUGUUCUAGAAGGAAUCACCUCAUUCUGGAGGGAAUUCUCUCUGGAGAAGUAUUUCUCAGCAGCUACAAGGAAGACUGUCAAGAAUCAGAGGCCAACACAGAUGUGGGACUAUCCCAAAUACAAUUCUCAAGAUCUGUUUCUCAACAAAUGUUGAACGUGAAGGCCUCAGUCAGUAGCCUGCCUGUUACCAUUGCGAGGUUGUCUUCUCCCCCAGAACCACUGCAUGCCCUGCUGCAUCAGUCACAGCCACCCACCAGGCUCAAGAGCUGUCCAGCUGAGCCGUCUGCAGUUGUCGUUGCCUGGAAGCCAAUGGCAGCAGCAGUCUUCGCAGAGCAGCUCCUCUCUUUGCAAGCGAUGCUGGAGCCAGCGUGGAAAGCAUUCUGUAUGAGCAUGGCACCCACAUCACCUGAAAACAGCAUGUAAUGUCCCAGAAGUGAGUUCUGAGUAUUCACUGGCUCUUACACAGUCCCCACGACACGCCGGAUUUUGAUAGUUGAGCAGUUUGCAAAACUCAGUUCACCAUCUCUCAGAUCUUCUCAGAUUCUCAAUAAGUGCUCUGGUGCCAGCUCAGUUGCCUUUACUCAGUACAUUACUGAGUGCUCAUGUCUUUGCAAGCAUUAAGUGGCUUCUUCCGCUGCAAAAAGACCACAGAGUUAAGAGCCCCACACACAAAACACAACAAUGCACAUUGGAAGUUAAAGCUGAGAAAGGACAUUUGGGCAUAAAAUAUAGCAUCAGUUAAGAGAGCUGGGGAGAGGAAGGCGGGGAAGAUACAUAAAUGCAAGUGCUGUAGAUGUAACUCUGAUAUCAUACAGUUGUAAAACAAACCCACAGAAGCAAAGGAGUUGUGACAAGGCAAAUAUGGUAUUACUAAAAAUCAGGUCCCACAUACGGAAGACCUGCAUACAAAAGUCCUAAAUCCCAGUACAAAGGUUUUGUGCAGAAAUCUCUUUAAAAUCUGUUUUUGCUAUGAAGGAUUUAAAUAGGCCUGUAGUACUGGGAAAAUUCCCUGCCACACCAAUGCAAUUCUGUGCCGCUAAGGCGUAGCGCACAAAUAGUACCAACCAUUACGACCACAGCACAGCUUCAGACAUGCAGUGUGCCCCAGCCAACUGCUACGCUUCUCUCCAGUAUCACCAGAAGUAGCAUUUUUAAUACUAUUUUCAAAAUCUUUGUCUUUUUUUCACACAAAGUCAGGGGAAAAAAAAGGCAUCUGACACAGAAUGCUGAACUUCAGCUCUUAAUUUUUCAUGUCUUAUUGCCCUUCUGUAAUUUCCAGAAUUCCCUGCAGCACUGCCCGCCCUUGGUUUUGCUGUUACCUUACAUCACCUUUGCCAGGGAAGAUGCUGACCAUGUGCCUAUUUGUACAACAUUUUAACAACUUUAACUAUAAACUCAAUGCAGUCUUAGCAAUAGAGGCCUGCCUUCUUCACAAGCGGUGUAUCAAAAGAAGGGAACGAUGAAACCAGCACCAUUUAAGAAGAAGAAAGCAACCUACAUAUUGCAAAAAGCUAACAAAGUUUCCACAAAACAGACUCCAUUUGUACAUCCAGUUAUCUUGAACUCUAUUCUCUCCAGGUCCAUAGGAGUGCCCAAAGAGCGUGGGAUGGGUCCAACACACCAGACUGAAAGUUGAAAAACAAUGGUGGGGAAGGUGAUGGAGGCCCAGCCCUGCUGCACUGGACUAAUCCAGCUGGAAAACUGAACGUAAAGACAACUGGUUUCAGCAUCACACUUUUAUUUAAGUUUUAUAUGACAUACAGAUGAGCUGGAUCUCACACUUGAUCAUGACUUGUAGAAAAAUGCAGAAUAUAUAGAAAAUAGCGAUAACAAACCUAACUGGACAUAAGGAGAGAGGCAUAUUGCUUGUCUCUCCUGAACAUCUACUUUCACUAGUGUCUUUAGCUGCUGAGAAGAGACUUUCUUCAUCUUGAUGCACAUAGACAAACUAAGAUAGAAGAAAUGCCAAAAUAGUCCACAGAAGGAAAAUAAAUGCUGCAGGAGGUAAAUGACACAUCUUAGAAUAAAAUAAAACUCUUAAACUGGAGGAAUUCAUAUACUGAAAUCUCAGUCCAAAGGAUUCAUCUGAGUAAGAGACUGAUUCAGAACUAAGUGCAUAAGGAAUAUUUUCCAAGGGAACGGCCCUCAUAACCAAGCUGUCUGUGACUAAGAACACCUCCUGCACAAGUGCAGUCACUGCAUCACCAGCCCUGGACUGAACAUCAACUGCACAGAUUUAUAAAUGGCGUGUAUUUCAGAAGUUCUGUUUGAUUAGGCAUGGUACACAGCUAUCCGUGAAAGCAACACAGCACAUGUACUUGUUUACAGAAUUUAUCACCAAAAACAAAACAAAACAAACACCAUUAGAUACAGAGAAAAAAUGUAUGAAUAAAGAGAACUUCUGCAGUACUCUGAGAGGAAGGACAGUCUCUUGGAGAGCACACAAGACACUACCAAAGAACUUCUCUCCAGAACUCAGACUGCACCUGGAUGCUACUGGAUUGGAUAUGCAGCGGGCGGAGCAACUGUGGCUUUUAAGAUGGAAUUCGAGAGUAGGAUUAAGCUGCAGAACCCAAUAAACCAUCAAAGAACACAAAGUGUCAGUGUGGCAUGGGCAGUGUUUUCAGAUUUAGCAAAACACAAAUCAUGCCAGUUAACUUCUGGAUACUCCUUCAAUGCAGCACGUUAUAAAUCCAGCUUAGACAUGAAAGAAGAGUGCAAAUCCACAGUGUUGAGAUGACCUUCUACAGCCCCAGUACCAGGCACAACUGACAGAGGUGAUACAGUGCCCUUCUAGCCUCAACAGAACAUGCAGUUAAUUCAUGUGCUGCUUCUGUCUGGAGUAACUGCAGGUGAGUAUUAGCCUUCCACCUCUUGCAAAGGAAGUUGUCGCAAACAUAUAAUAAGAACAUAAUGUUUCAUUCAUUACAGUUACGUAACAUUUUAUCUUGAAAUUGGAUCAGAAGUGACACCUCCGCGCUGUGGUUUGGAUAUUCAUACUUAUAUUUUCUUCAUUCCAAGAAAUCAUUUUGUUCUUUGUUCCAAGAGGAAAGAAGUGAAAGAUUCAGUUAGAAAUCUUGGAAGAUUUCAAAACAAAAUUGUUUAUUGCUACAACAGACUUAGACUCCACAAAUCAAAUGCAGCUACUAGCAAGUUAAAUCCCAGUGCUCCUCAGAUGUCAGCAGUUGUCAAGAGCUUCAGCAGGAUAUAAGGAGCUAUUUUCAAGUUGAUACCUCUCGUUAAGGUAGGAUGAAGAUCUUGUUCCAUAUGUAUGCAGCAUGUAGCUUUAACGUGCAAUGUUUAACCACUGAGUUUUUUUUCCAUGGAAAAGUGGUAGCUUUUUCUUUCACGAAAUAGAAGUUAAUAGUUUAAGAUUGUAGUGGGCAAUAUUAAACCACAAAAAUAAAAUGAUGGUG
ensembl:lncRNA